rnacentral:rRNA from 1 species
UACGUAGGGGGCAAGCGUUGUCCGGAUUUAUUGGGCGUAAAGAGCUCGUAGGUGGUUCGGUAAGUCGGGUGUGAAACCUCCAGGCUCAACCUGGAGACGCCACCCGAUACUGCUGUGACUGGAGUCCGGUAGGGGAGCGUGGGAAUUCCUGGUGUAGCGGUGAAAUGCGCAGAUAUCAGGAGGAACACCAGCGGCGAAGGCGGCGCUCUGGGCCGGUACUGACACUGAGGAGCGAAAGCGUGGGUAGCAAACAGG